UACAGAGGUCUCAAGCGUUGUUCGGAUUCAUUGGGCGUAAAGGGUGCGUAGGUGGCGCCGUAAGUGGGGUGUGAAAUCCCGGGGCUUAACCCCGGGACUGCAUUCCAUACUGCGGUGCUUGAGGACUGGAGAGGAGACUGGAAUUUACGGUGUAGCAGUGAAAUGCGUAGAGAUCGUAAGGAAGACCAGUGGCGAAGGCGGGUCUCGUGGACAGUUCCUGACACUGAGGCACGAAGGCCAGGGGAGCAAACGGG
rnacentral:rRNA from 1 species